AAUAUUGGACAAUGGGCGAAAGCCUGAUCCAGCCAUGCCGCGUGUGUGAAGAAGGUCUUCGGAUUGUAAAGCACUUUAAGUUGGGAGGAAGGGUUGUAGAUUAAUACUCUGCAAUUUUGACGUUACCAACAGAAUAAGCACCGGCUAACUUCGUGCCAGCAGCCGCGGUAAUACGAAGGGUGCAAGCGUUAAUCGGAAGUACUGGGCGUAAAGCGGGCGUAGGUGGUUCGUUGAGUUGUAAGUGGAAGCCGCGGGCGUAACAUGGGAAUUGCUUUCAAAACUGACGAGCUAGAGUACGGUAGAGGGUAGUGGAAUUUCCUGUGUAGCGGUGAAAUGCGUAGAUAUAGGAAGGAACAUCAGUGGCGAAGGCGACUACCUGGACUGAUACUGACACUGAGGUGCGAAAGCGUGGGGAGCAAACAGG
rnacentral:rRNA from 1 species